CUAUAAAUUAUUUCAACAGUGAGAUCACUCCUACCAUACUCUAGAGUAUUUCUUAUGUUUUUAUAUUUAUCUCCUAGAGCAUUAAAUAGGCCCACUCCCUUCUGUUCAUAAGAUAUUUUCUCAUCACAGUUUGCUAAGUCUUGUGUGAUCCUAUUAAAUUUAUCCAUAUGAUCUCCCGUGUCAAGAUUAGGAUUAAAUUUAAAACUAAAGAACUGUC
rnacentral:lncRNA from 1 species